AGUCAUACGCUCGUCUCAAAGAUUAAGCCAUGCAUGUCUAAGUAUAAACAAAUCUAUACUGUGAAACUGCGAAUGGCUCAUUAUAUCAGUUAUAGUUUAUUUGAUAGUGUUUUUACUACUUGGAUAACCGUAGUAAUUCUAGAGCUAAUACAUGCUACAACUCCCGACUUUUAUGGAAGGGAUGUAUUUAUUAGAUGGAAACCAAUGCGGAGUUCUCUCCGGUUUUGUGGUGAAUCAUGAUAACUGUGCGAAUCGUAUGACCUUGAGUCGACGAUGAAUCAUUCAAGUUUCUGCCCUAUCAGCUUUGGAUGGUAGGGUAUUGGCCUACCAUGGCUUUAACGGGUAACGGAGAAUUAGGGUUCGAUUCCGGAGAGGGAGCCUGAGAAACGGCUACCACAUCUAAGGAAGGCAGCAGGCGCGCAAAUUACCCAAUCCUGACAUAGGGAGGUAGUGACAAGAAAUAACAAUAUAGGGCUUUCCAUGUCUUGUAGUUGGAAUGAGUAGAAUUUAAAUCCCUUUGCGAGUAUCAAU
rnacentral:rRNA from 1 species